UACGUAGGGGGCAAGCGUUGUCCGGAAUCAUUGGGCGUAAAGCGCGUGUAGGCGGCCCGGUAAGUCCGCUGUGAAAGUCGGGGGCUCAACCCUCGAAUGCCGGUGGAUACUGUCGGGCUAGAGUGCGGAAGAGGCGAGUGGAAUUCCUGGUGUAGCGGUGAAAUGCGCAGAUAUCAGGAGGAACACCGGUGGCGAAGGCGGAUCUCUGGGCCUUACCUGACGCUCAGGCGCGAAAGCUAGGGGAGCGAACAGG
rnacentral:rRNA from 1 species